GCUAUCUGUAGGGGUCAGACUCAUAAGACAAUGGGCAGGGAAGAUAAGGCAAAGAGUAAAUGGGAGGGCCCAAAUGAAAAAUAAUGAAAUAAACAACCCAACAUGGUGAUAGUGUGUAUUAUUUGCUAAUCAUCUUCUCAUAAAGAUUGGAAAUGUUCCAUUUAUGCUUUUAUAAUAUUCUUUGGUCCUUCAUUUUCCAGGGUCUCGUGAAAUGCUCAGAACACAUGCGUAAAACUACAGCAGGGUUGGGCUGGAGUGAAAUCAGCAACGUACCAAAACCAUGAAACACAGAAACAACUGCUUCUUCCAGACUUCGACAUACCACCCAGAAGGCAGUGUGGAGAAGAGGAAAGAGUGAAGAUUUUAAAGUCAGACAAGCCUGGGUCUGUCAUCCAAUUAUUAUAUGCCCGGAUCUCUCUGCUGGAUCUGAGCUCCUGGAUGGCUCAGCCUGGAUCAUUCAGAAGCCUAUCAGAGGCAAGUUAGCCAACAGGUUUUCAGGAACUAAGAAUGCACAUAUGGAAGAGCGAAUGCAAAAAUUUAAGAUACUUAUAUUGCUAAACACAAGUAGAAUUUUAUAUAAAUAUAAUUCAUAAAA
rnacentral:lncRNA from 1 species